UGAACGCUAGCUACAGGCUUAACACAUGCAAGUCGAGGGGCAGCAUGGUCUUAGCUUGCUAAGGCCGAUGGCGACCGGCGCACGGGUGAGUAACACGUAUCCAACCUGCCGUCUACUCUUGGACAGCCUUCUGAAAGGAAGAUUAAUACAAGAUGGCAUCAUGAGUCCACAUGUUCACAUGAUUAAAGGUAUUCCGGUAGACGAUGGGGAUGCGUUCCAUUAGAUAGUAGGCGGGGUAACGGCCCACCUAGUCUUCGAUGGAUAGGGGUUCUGAGAGGAAGGUCCCCCACAUUGGAACUGAGACACGGUCCAAACUCCUACGGGAGGCAGCAGUGAGGAAUAUUGGUCAAUGGGCGAGAGCCUGAACCAGCCAAGUAGCGUGAAGGAUGACUGCCCUAUGGGUUGUAAACUUCUUUUAUAAAGGAAUAAAGUCGGGUAUGCAUACCCGUUUGCAUGUACUUUAUGAAUAAGGAUCGGCUAACUCCGUGCCAGCAGCCGCGGUAAUACGGAGGAUCCGAGCGUUAUCCGGAUUUAUUGGGUUUAAAGGGAGCGUAGAUGGAUGUUUAAGUCAGUUGUGAAAGUUUGCGGCUCAACCGUAAAAUUGCAGUUGAUACUGGAUAUCUUGAGUGCAGUUGAGGCAGGCGGAAUUCGUGGUGUAGCGGUGAAAUGCUUAGAUAUCACGAAGAACUCCGAUUGCGAAGGCAGCCUGCUAAGCUGCAACUGACAUUGAGGCUCGAAAGUGUGGGUAUCAAACAGGAUUAGAUACCCUGGUAGUCCACACGGUAAACGAUGAAUACUCGCUGUUUGCGAUAUACUGCAAGCGGCCAAGCGAAAGCGUUAAGUAUUCCACCUGGGGAGUACGCCGGCAACGGUGAAACUCAAAGGAAUUGACGGGGGCCCGCACAAGCGGAGGAACAUGUGGUUUAAUUCGAUGAUACGCGAGGAACCUUACCCGGGCUUAAAUUGCAGAUGAAUUACGGUGAAAGCCGUAAGCCGCAAGGCAUCUGUGAAGGUGCUGCAUGGUUGUCGUCAGCUCGUGCCGUGAGGUGUCGGCUUAAGUGCCAUAACGAGCGCAACCCUUGUUGUCAGUUACUAACAGGUUCUGCUGAGGACUCUGACAAGACUGCCAUCGUAAGAUGUGAGGAAGGUGGGGAUGACGUCAAAUCAGCACGGCCCUUACGUCCGGGGCUACACACGUGUUACAAUGGGGGGUACAGAGGGCCGCUACCACGCGAGUGGAUGCCAAUCCCAAAAACCUCUCUCAGUUCGGACUGGAGUCUGCAACCCGACUCCACGAAGCUGGAUUCGCUAGUAAUCGCGCAUCAGCCACGGCGCGGUGAAUACGUUCCCGGGCCUUGUACACACCGCCCGUCAAGCCAUGGGAGCCGGGGGUACCUGAAGUGCGUAACCGCGAGGAGCGCCCUAGGGUAAAACUGGUGACUGGGGCUA
rnacentral:rRNA from 1 species